GCAUAUCAAUAAGCGGAGGAAAAGAAACUAACAAGGAUUCCCCUAGUAGCGGCGAGUGAAGCGGGAAGAGCUCAAAUUUGUAAUCUGGCGUCUUUCAGGCGUCCGAGUUGUAAUCUAUAGAAGUGUUUUCCGUGCUGGACCAUGUCCAAGUCCCUUGGAACAGGGUAUCAAAGAGGGUGACAAUCCCGUACUUGACAUGACCACCAGUGCUCUGUGAUACACUUUCUACGAGUCGAGUUGUUUGGGAAUGCAGCUCAAAAUGGGUGGUAAAUUCCAUCUAAAGCUAAAUAUUGGCGAGAGACCGAUAGCGAACAAGUACCGUGAGGGAAAGAUGAAAAGCACUUUGGAAAGAGAGUUAAACAGUACGUGAAAUUGUUGAAAGGGAAACGAUUGAAGUCAGUCGUGUUCAUUGGACUCAGCCGGUUUUCGGUGUAUUUCCUUUGAACGGGUCAACAUCAGUUUUGUCCGGUGGAUAAAGGCAGGAAGAAAGUGGCUCCCUCGGGAGUGUUAUAGCUUUCUGUCACAUACACUGGAGGAGACUGAGGACUGCAGCUCGCCUUUUGGCCGGGGUUCGCCCACGUUCGAGCUUAGGAUGUUGACAUAAUGGCUUUAAACGACCCGUCUUGAAACACGGACC
rnacentral:rRNA from 1 species